rnacentral:rRNA from 1 species
UACCAGCUCUCCGAGUUGUAGGGAUGAUUAUUGGGCUUAAAGCGUCCGUAGCUGGCUUAGCAAGUCUCCUGUUAAAUUCAGCGACCUAAUCGUUGAGCCGCGGGGGAUACUAUUAGGCUAGGAGGCGGGAGAGGUCGACGGUACUUUCGGGGUAGGGGUGAAAUCCUAUAAUCCCGGGAGGACCACCAGUGGCGAAGGCUGUCGACUAGAACGCGCUCGACGGUGAGGGACGAAAGCUGGGGGAGCGAACCGGAUUAGAUACCCGGGUAGUCCCAGCUGUAAACUAUGCGGGCUAGGUGUUGGGGUGGCUACGGGCCACUUCAGUGCCGCAGGAAAGCCAUUAAGCCCGCCGCCUGGGGAGUACGGCCGCAAGGCUAGAAACUUAAAGGAAUUGGCGGGGGAGCACCACAAGGCGUGAAGCUUGCGGUUC